GACGAACGCUGGCGGCGUGCUUAACACAUGCAAGUCGAACGGAAAGGCCCUGCUUUUGUGGGGUGCUCGAGUGGCGAACGGGUGAGUAACACGUGAGUAACCUGCCCUUGACUUUGGGAUAACUUCAGGAAACUGGGGCUAAUACCGGAUAGGAGCUCCUGCUGCAUGGUGGGGGUUGGAAAGUUUCGGCGGUUGGGGCUGGACUCGCGGCUUAUCAGCUUGUUGGUGGGGUAGUGGCUUACCAAGGCUUUGACGGGUAGCCGGCCUGAGAGGGUGACCGGCGACAAUGGGACUGAGAGACGGCGCAGACGCCUACGGGAGGCAGCAGGGGGGAAUAUGGCACAAUGGGCGGAAGCCUGAGGCAGCAACGCCGCGUGCGGGAUGACGGCCUUCGGGUUGUAAACCGCUUUCGCCGGUGACGAAGCGUGAGUGACGGUAAUGGGUAAAGAAGCACCGGCUAACUACGUG
rnacentral:rRNA from 1 species